rnacentral:rRNA from 1 species
AGUGAACGCUGGCGGUAGGCCUAACACAUGCAAGUCGAACGGCAGCACAGUAAGAGCUUGCUCUUACGGGUGGCGAGUGGCGGACGGGUGAGGAAUACAUCGGAAUCUACUUUUUCGUGGGGGAUAACGUAGGGAAACUUACGCUAAGACCGCAUACGACCUACGGGUGAAAGCAGGGGAUCUUCGGACCUUGCGCGAUUGAAUGAGCCGAUGUCGGAUUGGCUAGUUGGCGGGGUAAAGGCCCACCAAGGCGACGAUCCGUAGCUGGUCUGAGAGGAUGAUCAGCCACACUGGAACUGAGACACGGUCCAGACUCCUACGGGAGGCAGCAGUGGGGAAUAUUGGACAAUGGGCGCAAGCCUGAUCCAGCCAUACCGCGUGGGUGAAGAAGGCCUUCGGGUUGUAAAGCCCUUUUGUUGGGAAAGAAAAGCAGCAGGUUAAUACCCCGCUGUUCUGACGGUACCCAAAGAAUAAGCACCGGCUAACUUCGUG